UACGGAGGAUCCGAGCGUUAUCCGGAUUUAUUGGGUUUAAAGGGUGCGCAGGCGGAAGAUUAAGUCGGUGGUGAAAUUUUGCAGCUCAACUGUAAAAGUGCCAUUGAUACUGGUUUUCUUGAGUGUGGAUGAAGUAGGCGGAAUUUGUGGUGUAGCGGUGAAAUGCAUAGAUAUCACGAGGAACUCCGAUUGCGCAGGCAGCUUACUAAACCAUAACUGACGCUCAGGCACGAAGGCGUGGGGAUCAAACAGGAUUAGAUACCCGU
rnacentral:rRNA from 1 species